GGGCUAGUAUGGCAGCACAUAUACUAAAAUUGGAACGAUACAGAGAAGAUUAGCAUGGCCCCUGCGC
rnacentral:snRNA from 2 species